ensembl:snRNA U6 U6 spliceosomal RNA
GUGCUUGCUUCGGCAGCAUAUAUACUAAAUUGGAACAACACAGAGAAGACUAGCAUGGACCCUGCAGAAGGAUGACAUGCAAAUUCAUGAGUAAAGAUUGAGUUAA